rnacentral:rRNA from 1 species
UACGUAGGGUGCGAGCGUUGUCCGGAAUUACUGGGCGUAAAGAGCUUGUAGGCGGUUUGUCGCGUCGAUUGUGAAAUCUUGCAGCUCAACUGCAAGCCUGCAGUCGAUACGGGCAGACUAGAGUACUUCAGGGGAGACUGGAAUUCCUGGUGUAGCGGUGAAAUGCGCAGAUAUCAGGAGGAACACCGGUGGCGAAGGCGGGUCUCUGGGAAGUAACUGACGCUGAGAAGCGAAAGCGUGGGUAG